AUUGAACGCUGGCGGCAGGCUUAACACAUGCAAGUCGAGCGGAGUGAUGGUGCUUGCACUAUCACUUAGCGGCGGACGGGUGAGUAAUGCUUAGGAAUCUGCCUAUUAGUGGGGGACAACAUCUCGAAAGGGAUGCUAGUACCGCAUACGUCCUACGGGAGAAAGCAGGGGAUCACUUGUGACCUUGCGCUAAUAGAUGAGCCUAAGUCGGAUUAGCUAGUUGGUGGGGUAAAGGCCUACCAAGGCGACGAUCUGUAGCGGGUCUGAGAGGAUGAUCCGCCACACUGGGACUGAGACACGGCCCAGACUCCUACGGGAGGCUGCAGUGGGGAAUAUUGGACAAUGGGGGGAACCCUGAUCCAGCCAUGCCGCGUGUGUGAAGAAGGCCUUAUGGUUGUAAAGCACUUUAAGCGAGGAGGAGGCUCUUUUGGUUAAUACCCAAGAUGAGUGGACGUUACUCGCAGAAUAAGCACCGGCUAACUCUGUGCCAGCCGCCGCGGUAA
rnacentral:rRNA from 1 species